rnacentral:rRNA from 1 species
UGCUUAACACAUGCAAGUCGAACGGAAAGGCCCUUCUUUUGUGGGGUGCUCGAGUGGCGAACGGGUGAGUAACACGUGAGUAACCUGCCCUUGACUUUGGGAUAACUUCAGGAAACUGGGGCUAAUACCGGAUAGGAGCUCCUGCUGCAUGGUGGGGGUUGGAAAGUUUCGGCGGUUGGGGAUGGACUCGCGGCUUAUCAGCUUGUUGGUGGGGUAGUGGCUUACCAAGGCUUUGACGGGUAGCCGGCCUGAGAGGGUGACCGGCCACAUUGGGACUGAGAUACGGCCCAGACUCCUACGGGAGGCAGCAGUGGGGAAUAUUGCACAAUGGGCGGAAGCCUGAUGCAGCAACGCCGCGUGCGGGAUGACGGCCUUCGGGUUGUAAACCGCUUUCGCCUGUGACGAAGCGUGAGUGACGGUAAUGGGUAAAGAAGCACCGGCUAACUACGUGCCAGCAGCCGCGGUGAUACGUAGGGUGCGAGCGUUGUCCGGAUUUAUUGGGCGUAAAGGGCUCGUAGGUGGUUGAUCGCGUCGGAAGUGUAAUCUUGGGGCUUAACCCCUGAGCGUGCUUUCGAUACGGGUUGACUUGAGGAAGGUAGGGGAGAAUGGAAUUUCCUGGUGGGAGCGGUGGAAUGCGCAGAUAUCAGGAGGAACACCAGUGGCGAAGGCGGUUCUCUGGGCCUUUCCUGACGCUGAGGAGCGAAAGCGUGGGGAGCGAACAGGCUUAGAUACCCUGGUAGUCCACGCUGUAAACGGUGGGUACUAGGUGUGGGGUCCAUUCCACGGGUUCCGUGCCGUAGCUAACGCUUUAAGUACCCCGCCUGGGGAGUACGGCCGCAGGGCUAAAACUCAAAGGAAUUGACGGGGCCCCGCACAAGCGGCGGAGCAUGCGGAUUAAUUCGAUGCAACGCGUAGAACCUUACCUGGGUUUGACAUGGAUCGGGAGUGCUCAGAGAUGGGUGUGCCUCUUUUGGGGUCGGUUCACAGGUGGUGCAUGCCUGUCGUCAGCUCGUGUCGUGAGAUGUUGGGUUAAGUCCCGCAACGAGCGCAACCCUUGUUCACUGUUGCCAGCACGUUAUGGUGGGGACUCAGUGGAGACCGCCGGGGUCAACUCGGAGGAAGGUGGGGAUGACGUCAAGUCCUCAUGCCCCUUAUGUCCAGGGCUUCACGCAUGCUACAAUGGCUGGUACAGAGAGUGGCGAGCCUGUGAGGGUGAGCGAAUCUCGGAAAGCCGGUCUCAGUUCGGAUUGGGGUCUGCAACUCGACCUCAUGAAGUCGGAGUCGCUAGUAAUCGCAGAUCAGCAACGCUGCGGUGAAUACGUUCCCGGGGCUUGUACACACCGCCCGUCAAGUCAUGAAAGUUGGUAACACCCGAAGCCGGUGGCCUAACCGUUGUGGGGGAGCCGUCGAAGGUGGGACUGGUGAUUAGGACUAAGUA